rnacentral:tRNA from 1 species
GGAGGGAUGGCAGAGUGGUUUAUUGCGGCGGUCUUGAAAACCGCUGACGGGGCAACCCGUCCGGGGGUUCAAAUCCCUCUCCCUCCGCCA